GCGGAAUCGAAAAGGAAAAGGAAACUGUAAUGAGAGUGACUUGGCAGGCGGCCAAAGGCAACAGGUCGUUGGCUGGGGUAAAGGCCGAUGGGCUGGACUGAGAAAGUGUCCCCGGGCGGGCAGCGGCCACCUUAACUCCUGGACGGAAUGGCUUUCGAGGAAACGCUGCAGUUCCACUAGGAGGCACCCUGACACACGCAUUUCCAGAGGGAGGGAUAACGGAAGCCAAAGUUUGUUAAGCGUUGUGCGCCGCGGCCGGGCGCGGUGAUUCACGCCUGUAAUCCCAGCACUUUGGGGGGCCGAGGCGGGCGGAUCACGACGUCAGGAGAUCGAGACCAUUCUGGCUAACACGGUGAAACCCCGUCUCUACUAAAAAUACAAAAACAAAAUUAGCUGGGCGUGGUGGCGGGCGCCUGUAGUCCCAGCUACUCGGGAGGCUGAGGUGGGAGAAUGGCGGGAACCCGGGAGGCGGAGUUUGCAGUGAGCCGAGAUUGCGCCACUGCACUCCAGCCUGGGCGACAGAGCGAGACUAUGUAUCAAAAAAAAAAAUGCGUUGUGCGCCGGGCUGAAACCGGCAUAAAACUGGGCAGAGCUAUGCAGGCAGCUACCCUCCCCCCCACCCCUACCCCCACCCCCACCCCCCUCGUGCCCGCUCCGCUACGUAUUCCCGUAUUCCCGGGUGCCUGGCAACAGUGAUGUGCUUUAGGCCUUUUUUAGAAUGCAUACAAACGGAACCAUAUCUAAGUGAUGUCUGGCUUUUUUAACUUAGCACAAUGCUUUGAGAUUCAUACUAUUGUGUUUAAUUAGUAAUUCAUUUGUGUUAUUGUUGAAUGGUAGUCUAUCAUAUGGGUAAGCCACAGUUUAUUUAUCCAUUCACCAAUUGAUGGGCCUGUCGGUUGUAGGGAACAGGAGAAAACUUCCCCUUUGCCCUCUGAAGGGUCACCGAAAAUCAACUGACAAGGCUGGGCCUGGGCUCCUGCCUGUAACCCCAGCCCUUUUUUAGCCCAAGGCAGGAGGAUCUCUUCUUUGUGAAGUGUGUAUUCAAAUCUUUUGACCAUUUAUUUAUUAGCUAGCUUGACUUUUUAUCUAAGAGUUCUUUAUAUAUUAUUGAGUUCUUUAUAUGUUUCAUACCAUGUUCUUUAUUAGCUAUACGUUUUGAAAUGUUUUCUACCUGUCUGUGGCUUGCCUCUUCAUUUUAAGUGUCUUUUGAAGCACUGAAGUUUUCAAUUUUGAUGUAAUUUAUCCAUUUUUUUCUUUUACAUAGUUCAUACCUUUUUUGUCCUACUUAAGACAUUUUUGCUAAAUUCAAGAUUAUAAGAUUUCCUCAUUUGUUACCUUCUGGAAGUUUUAUAAUUGUUGGUCUUCAUUAUAUUUAAAAUGAAUUAUUCUUUAUAGUAUCGAUAGAUGCUGGAGGCAGAUAAGGGAGGGUCCCUGGAGAAUCUCUGACCUGCCUCACAAGCUUUUGUGCAGCUGAGGAAGCCUGCCCAGGGUCUUGUCUGGGCAUGCCCACAAGGGACUUGGGGGCCCACUGCACCAGGAGAGUGGGGUGCAGCCAGAGGGAAUUCAGCCUUAUGCAGCAGGGAUGAGCAAGAAGUCUUCAGCUUGUGUGUGUUGGCCUGUUAUUCAGUCUGUGAGCUGGGAGCCUGUUGGCAGGACCCUCCUUGUUUUUUUGCUAAGAGCUUUUAAUAAAUGCCACUCUUCACCUUGCAAUGUAUUCACAUGCCUAAUUGUUCCUGGUCAUGAGACAAGAACCUGGAUUUUAGCUGAGCUAAGGAGCAAAAAUUCCUGCAUCAGUAUGAGGUGUAAGGAAGAACAGAAGGAUCCAAGUGUGAGAAAGCCCACCCUGAGUCUCUCAGAGAUUCAUUUCACUACCAGGUCAAAGACACAAUCAAAAGCCCGACAAAUGGAAUUUGUGGAAUUGGAACAAAAAGCUUUUCUUCCUAGGCACAAGAACAUCAAAGCAUAAAUCCUUCAGGUAUCAGCAAUGACAUCACUUAAGAAUUUCUCAGAAUCUUUGGCACCACCCCAGGCCUACCGGAUCAGAAUCUGAAUUUUUUAACAAGAUCUCAGAUCUAGUCAAGAGUCCAGUCUGAUUUCUCUUUAUUGGGACUACCACCCAAAGCAGAAUGAGGAUGAUGUAACCACGCCCAGUGACUUCUGGAUACCACUGACUCUAGAUGAGCAAGGAGAGACUCAGAGGAAGUCAGCGUUACUCGAUUAGAAAGUGACUGUGGCACUACCAUAGUAGUAAAAUCUACCAUGGCAGAGAAAAUGCCAUAUGUUCACCUUGCCAGUCGUUUUUCUUUUUCCUCCUGGGUUUAUAGGAAGAUGGCAGCCCCUGGCUCCCCUGCAAUCAGGCAGGGCCAUGUGACUGAGUCUUAGCUCACCAAUGUGGGAGAAAGUGAUGUGUGACACAUUAAGGCCAGGCCACUGAAACCUCUCAUGGGAACUUCCAUACUCACUUCCCUCAUCUGCUAGCCAACCCAAAAGAUUGAGUGGAGGAUUUUACAGCCCCAGGGCCUAGAGAUGCUGGAAAGAAGCCUGAUUCAGCCCUGAAUGAACCUGUGCAAAGGUGCCUCUGACCUCCAACCCUUGUUGGACUAGGAUGUUGGAAAAUACUGUGUUAAGCUACUGGGAUUUCAAAGUUGUUUGUCAUAGCAGCUAGCCAUAUUUACUCUACCUGAUAGAUCUAUGUUCUGUAAUUACAGUGUUUGCCUUUCAUGUCCUAAGGGUAAAUAAGUGAUAUAUGCAACAAUAAACUGUGAUGUACUAUAUAUUGUUUUUAUUACAUUAAAAUUCUUAAAAUUUGCUUUUUCA
rnacentral:lncRNA from 10 species